rnacentral:rRNA from 1 species
GCAGUCGAACGAACUCUGGUAUUGAUUGGUGCUUGCAUCAUGAUUUACAUUUGAGUGAGUGGCGAACUGGUGAGUAACACGUGGGAAACCUGCCCAGAAGCGGGGGAUAACACCUGGAAACAGAUGCUAAUACCGCAUAACAACUUGGACCGCAUGGUCCGAGUUUGAAAGAUGGCUUCGGCUAUCACUUUUGGAUGGUCCCGCGGCGUAUUAGCUAGAUGGUGAGGUAACGGCUCACCAUGGCAAUGAUACGUAGCCGACCUGAGAGGGUAAUCGGCCACAUUGGGACUGAGACACGGCCCAAACUCCUACGGGAGGCAGCAGUAGGGAAUCUUCCACAAUGGACGAAAGUCUGAUGGAGCAACGCCGCGUGAGUGAAGAAGGGUUUCGGCUCGUAAAACUCUGUUGUUGAAGAAGAACAUAUCUGAGAGUAACUGUUCAGGUAUUGACGGUAUUUAACCAGAAAGCCACGGCUAACUACGUGCCAGCAGCCGCGGUAAUACGUAGGUGGCAAGCGUUGUCCGGAUUUAUUGGGCGUAAAGCGAGCGCAGGCGGUUUUUUAAGUCUGAUGUGAAAGCCUUCGGCUCAACCGAAGAAGUGCAUCGGAAACUGGGAAACUUGAGUGCAGAAGAGGACAGUGGAACUCCAUGUGUAGCGGUGAAAUGCGUAGAUAUAUGGAAGAACACCAGUGGCGAAGGCGGCUGUCUGGUCUGUAACUGACGCUGAGGCUCGAAAGUAUGGGUAGCAAACAGGAUUAGAUACCCUGGUAGUCCAUACCGUAAACGAUGAAUGCUAAGUGUUGGAGGGUUUCCGCCCUUCAGUGCUGCAGCUAACGCAUUAAGCAUUCCGCCUGGGGAGUACGGCCGCAAGGCUGAAACUCAAAGGAAUUGACGGGGGCCCGCACAAGCGGUGGAGCAUGUGGUUUAAUUCGAAGCUACGCGAAGAACCUUACCAGGUCUUGACAUACUAUGCAAAUCUAAGAGAUUAGACGUUCCCUUCGGGGACAUGGAUACAGGUGGUGCAUGGUUGUCGUCAGCUCGUGUCGUGAGAUGUUGGGUUAAGUCCCGCAACGAGCGCAACCCUUAUUAUCAGUUGCCAGCAUUAAGUUGGGCACUCUGGUGAGACUGCCGGUGACAAACCGGAGGAAGGUGGGGAUGACGUCAAAUCAUCAUGCCCCUUAUGACCUGGGCUACACACGUGCUACAAUGGAUGGUACAACGAGUUGCGAACUCGCGAGAGUAAGCUAAUCUCUUAAAGCCAUUCUCAGUUCGGAUUGUAGGCUGCAACUCGCCUACAUGAAGUCGGAAUCGCUAGUAAUCGCGGAUCAGCAUGCCGCGGUGAAUACGUUCCCGGGCCUUGUACACACCGCCCGUCACACCAUGAGAGUUUGUAACACCCAAAGUCGGUGGGGUAACCUUUUAGG